rfam:Ciona savignyi cont_11580, whole genome shotgun sequence.
GGCCGGUUAGCUCAGUUGGUUAGAGCGUCGUGCUAAUAACGCGAAUGUCGCGGGUUCGAUCCCUGUACUGGCCA